UCCUCCUCCUCCUCCUCCGCUUCUGGCUUCUCCUCCUUCUUCUCAGGCUCAUCACAACAACUUUUACACCUCCUCCUCCUCCUUUUCUUCUUCUUCUUCUUCUUUUUUUUUUUUUAUGGCGUCUCGCCCAGCCUGGAGUGCAGAGGCAGUCUUGGCUCACUGCAACCUCCACCUCCGGGGUUCAACUGAUUUUCCCGCCUCAGCCUGCUGAGUAGCUGGGAUUACAGGCACCCUCAUCAAGUCCGGCUAAUUUUUGUAUUUUUAGUAGAGACAGGGUUUCACCAUGUUGGCUAGGCUGGUCUUGACCUCCUGACCUCGGGUGAUCCUCCUGCCUCGGCCUCCCAAAAUGCUGGGAUUACAGGCGUGAGCCACCACGCACGGCUUCUGUUGUUCGUUGAAAUCAUCAUUUUUCUAAUGUCCUCAUUCUCUGCUGGCUAGUUUAAGGGCUGAUUCAAAAAAUAAAUUUUCACACUGUGAAAUACGCAAGAUGAAGAGAACAUUUAUAAAAUAUCCAUACUGUGCAUCUCUGAAUAAUCUUUUCUUCACAUCAGCGGCAGUACAAAUUAGGUGGAGUUUUAAAAGAUACUUCAGCAACUUACAGAUUACAGCAUGUUAUGUAUCUUCAAGAUAUUUUGCUUCAUUGGUGUGCUUGAACAUUUCUGGAUUCCUAGACUCCCAGAAAGCAGUGAGAGGAUAUUACGUUGCAGAAUUUGGUCAGAAUAUGAAGUUUGGAAGACCCUAUAUUCCUGCAGAUCCUUGGAUUGAGGUUAAUUCGAGAGCAAGCCGUGAGUGAGGUAGCCUUUAUUACUCAUCAUGUGUUUAAGAAUGAUGCAAUGAGGCUUUGUUCUCUGCCUAUCUGAAUCACGUGGCCCAAGCAAGAGAUAUCUAUUGAAAUAGCAGAUAGUAGUGUCAUUCCAUUAUAAUUACCAUUAUUUGAGCUUCAGAGAAGUGGCAUUGAAUAACUCAAUUGGAGAAUAUGCAAGUAAAAUUAACAAAACCGUACACUAUUAAAAAAUGACUUGGUAGAUUUCUUCCAGAAAACUUAGAAAACAGAAUCUCAUAGCUCUCUGCAUACUUUAUGUCAGGCCUCUGAGCUCAAGCCUGCACGUAUACAUCCAGAUGGCCUGAAGUAACUGAAGAAUCACAAAAGAAGUGAAAAUGGUCAGUUCCUGCCUUAACUGAUGACAUUACCUUGUGAAAUUCCUUCUCCUGGCUCAUCCUGGCUCAAAAGCUCCCCCACUGAGCACCCUGUGACCCCCAUCCCUGUCCACCAGAGAACAACUCCCUUUGACUGUAAUUUUCCACUACCCACCCAAAUCCUAUAAAAUGGCCCCACCCCUAUCUCCCUUCGCAGACUCUCUUUUUGGACUCAGCCCACUGCACCCAGGUGAAAUAAACAGCCUUGUUGCUCACACAAAGCCUGUUUGGUGCUCUCUUCACACGGACGCGUGUGACACUUC
rnacentral:lncRNA from 10 species